CCGCGGCCCACAGUCCUUCGGGUCACCGCGCAACAGCCCACAGUCCUUCGGGUCACUGCCACAUUACACCAUCGUGUAAGCACUCAGCCAUAGGCCAUGAUCUCGUCUCUCUGAGUCUUCCCGAUCCAGAGAAUAAGGGGUUUCAUUGAACCCGCUGAAUACGAGGGCGAGGAAACACUAAUCACCCCUAAACAAGCCUAGUAUGGGUGGGUUACGCACAUACUUUCGGCACCACUCACACAACACAAACUCAAUCUAGAACCUAACGUAAUGAUAAAGUUCCAGAUCCUAACUAGACACUCGACUCCACAAGACUUAACCAAUAGUACCAGUAGUCCGGCCUAUAUGGCCUAACUACUAAACAACUAAACAACAAUAUCAAUACUAAACAACUCAAUCAAACCGUUACCCAGAUAGUUCAGCCUCUUGCUAUGAAACUAUCAUUAAAGAUAACAGGAACCUGCACUCAACCAUAUCAACACGCAAGAAUAUGAAUCAUGAUGCAUCCUAGUCCUAGUCAGGUUAUUAUCUCAGUCUUAAUUCCAUUUCUUCUCAGCUUAGCCCUUACUAAACUGAGUCCGGUUCCAUAAAUAAAAUAACCCUAAGGACUCUACCAUGCAAUAACGUGAUCAUUCUAAACUGUAUGCAACUCGAUCUAUCCUAAAUUUCAAGUGGAAUUCACACAAGCCAACU
rnacentral:lncRNA from 1 species